GACGGGGGGUGCAAGUGUUCUUCGGAAUGACUGGGCGUAAAGGGCACGUAGGCGGUUAAUCGGGUUGGAAGUGAAAGUCGCCAAAAAGUGGCGGAAUGCUCUCGAAACCAAUUCACUUGAGUGAGACAGAGGAGAGUGGAAUUUCGUGUGUAGGGGUGAAAUCCGUAGAUCUACGAAGGAACGCCAAAAGCGAAGGCAGCUCUCUGGGUCGAUACCGACGCUGGGGUGCGAAAGCGUGGGUAGCAAACAGG
rnacentral:rRNA from 1 species